ACAUCGCCUCUUGAUAAAAUAUAAGAGGUCCAGCCUGCCCAGUGACCUAGUUCAACGGCCGCGGUAUCCUAACCGUGCGAAGGUAGCGUAAUCACUUGUUCUUUAAAUGAGGACUAGUAUGAAUGGCACCACGAGGGUUAAGCUGUCUCCUUUUUCUAAUCAGUAAAACUAAUCUCCCCGUGAAGAAGCGGGGAUUAUAUUAUAAGACGAGAAGACCCUAUGGAGCUUAAAACAAAUUAACACCUGCUUCUAUCUAUUUUUCUUCCUGAACUUACACAUAAAAUAUAGCACUAUUGAUUAAUAGUUUUCGAUUGGGGUGAUCAUGGAGCAAAAACCAACCUCCACGACGAAAAGGAGCACUUCCCUGAGCUAAAAGCUACAACUUUAAGCACUAAAAAAUUAACGCACUUUGAC
rnacentral:rRNA from 1 species